UGCUGAGCAGAGAGCCCAAUGCGGGACUCGAUCCCAGGACCCUGAGAUCACGACCCGAGCCGAAGGCAGCGGCCUAACCCACUGAGCCACCCAGGCGCCCUAGAUUAUCUUUUAAUGAUAAAAUAUGAGUUACUUGCCUGAGAGCUUAAAACUAGACUACCAUUUUCCAUAUCCUUCAUAUUUGGGAUCAGUUUAUUCAAAUCUGCUUUCGUAAAAACAAUACCUUAUGUUGGUAUUAGUGCUUUCACCUUAUGAAGGACUCUGGAUGCAUAAGACUAUACAGAAUUUACAGAUGUCUUUUUUCUUUCUGCUUCUUGGGAAUGUUUGGUGGAAAAGUACAAAUAUUGUAAUUUUCCAAAAUCUCCAAAAUGAAUAUCCAAAAAUAUUUUCCAAAUAUUGUGAUAAUCCAAAAAUAAGUAAUUUAGAAACUUAUGACUUGUUUUAGCAAAAGCUAUAUCAUUUUUUCAUUAUCCUGAGUUGUUUUUUUUUUUUGGCUACAUAAUGAUGGUUUGGAAAGGGGAGAAAAUAUUGCAACUGAAUGUUUUCAGUGAUUUUUUUCCUCCUGUUUCCUCCUUGGUACCAUGAGGAUGAAAAGUCCUACUCUCUAUCAGAAUUUUGCCAUAUAGCUUAUCUCUAAGCUAAGGGAUACAUUAUGUGUCUAAAUUCCUAGGCUCCCAAAUGGAUAGGAUUACCAUCUUUAGGUUCUCUCUCUUGGUAACAUAUGCUGAGAUUUGAGAACAGUGGGAAUCGCUUGCCUUGAUAAACAAUUAACAAUAGUGUUAAUAUUUGCUAAUUUUGGAAUUGGCCUAGUUAUAUUUGUUUGCAUUUUAACUGAAGCCAGUAUUUAGAAAUAAUGUGGAAUGUGUAGC